rnacentral:rRNA from 1 species
GAUGAACGCUGGCGGCAUGCUUUACACAUGCAAGUCGAACGGUAACAGGCCGCAAGGUGCUGACGAGUGGCGAACGGGUGAGUAAUGCAUCGGGACGUGCCCAGUCGUGGGGGAUAACGCAGCGAGAGCUGCGCUAAUACCGCAUACGAUCUAUGGAUGAAAGCGGGGGACCGUAAGGCCUCGCGCGACUGGAGCGGCCGAUGUCAGAUUAGGUAGUUGGUGGGGUAAAGGCUCACCAAGCCAACGAUCUGUAGCGGGUCUGAGAGGACGACCAGCCACACUGGGACUGAGACACGGCCCAGACUCCUACGGGAGGCAGCAGUGGGGAAUUUUGGACAAUGGGCGCAAGCCUGAUCCAGCAAUGCCGCGUGCAGGAAGAAGGCCUUCGGGUUGUAAACUGCUUUUGUACGGAACGAAACGGUCCCGGUUAAUACCUGGGGCUAAUGACGGUACCGUAAGAAUAAGCACCGGCUAACUACGUGCCAGCCGCCGCGGUAAAAC